AUUGAACGCUGGCGGCAGGCCUAACACAUGCAAGUCGAGCGAGCGGCGGACGGGUGAGUAAUGUAUGGGGACUGCCCGAUAGAGGGGGAUAACUACUGGAAACGGUAGCUAAUACCGCAUACUAUCGGAUAACCCAUAUGGGAUUAGCUAGUUGGUGAGGUAAUGGCUCACAAAGGCGACGAUCCCUAGCUGGUCUGAGAGGAUGAUCAGCCACACUGGGAAGGGGACACGGCCCAGACUACUUCGGAGGGAGCAGGGGGGAAUAUUGCAGAAUGGGUGCAAGGCGGGUGCAGGCAUGCCUCGUGGGGGAUGAAGGCUUUCGGGUUGUAAACCUCUUUCGCUAUCGAACGGGUAGGUGGAGAAGAAGCGCCGGCUAACUACGUGCCAGCAGCCGCGGUAAUUC
rnacentral:rRNA from 1 species